CACGUAGGGGGCAAGCGUUGUCCGGAUUUAUUGGGCGUAAAGAGCUCGUAGGCGGUUCGGCAAGUCGGAUGUGAAAGUCUCCAGCGCCUUAACGUGGACGGGCCAUUCGAAACUGCCGUGACUCGAGUCCGGUAGGGGAGUGCGGAAGUUCCGGUGUGAGCGGUGAAAUGCGCAGGAUAAUCGGGAGGAACACCAGUGGCGAAGGCGGACACUCUGGGCC
rnacentral:rRNA from 1 species